GGUAGCUCAGUUGGUAGAGCACUCGACUGUUAAUCGAGUUGUCACAGGUUCGAGUCCUGUC
rnacentral:tRNA from 1 species